rnacentral:rRNA from 1 species
GCUGUCCAGACUAGCCAUGCACGUCUAAGUACAAACUAAAUGAUGGUGAAACAGCAAAUAGGGCUCAUUCUCAACGGUUAUGAUGUACCCGGGAGUUCCGAUGGAUAUUUCCAGUAACACUAGAACUAAUACAUGUCCCUGCGUUUAUUAGUUUCGCACAGUCCGUCGCUGAGUCAUGGUAAACAGUUGAUCGACUCGACGUCCCGGAACAGUUUCCGCCCCAUCAGCUUCGAUGGUUGGGUAUUGGCCUACCAUUGCAACAACGGGUAACGAGGAAUUAGGGUUUGAUUUCGGAGAGGGAGCCUGAGAAACGGCUACCACAUCUACGGAUGGCAGCAGGCGCGCAAAUUACCCAAUGCAGACACUGUGAGGUAGUGACGAGAAAUAAUAAAGCGGGACUUCUGUUUCGCUAUUAUAAUGAGGAAUAACCAAAGGUCAUUCCGAUUAGCAACUGAUGGGAAAGUCUGGUGCCAGCAGCCGCGGUAAUACCAGCGUCAGUA